UUAGUGUGAAAGAGGUCCUGUGUUUAAUUCUCUGUGAUGACGUGGAGACAGUACUUUUGCUCCAAUUUCAGCUAAGAGUUGUGUUAGGGAAAAAUUUUGAGUAGUUGUGUUUUAGUGGCUUAAUAAGGAGUGCUUUUAGGAGAUAAUGGGGGUGAGGUUAUCAGAAAAUAAUCUGAUUAUCUUUUUGUUGCAAAAAAGAAGUAGAGUUUCGGUUUUCUUUCCAAUUACCCAAAUUGCUGCCAAAAUUUCUAUUGUUUUUUCCCUUUC
rnacentral:lncRNA from 1 species